CCUACGGGAGGCUGCAGUGAGGAAUAUUGGUCAAUGGGCGCGAGCCUGAACCAGCCAAGUAGCGUGAAGGAUGACUGCCCUACGGGUUGUAAACUUCUUUUAUAAAGGAAUAAAGUGAGGCACGUGUGCCUUUUGUAUGUACUUUAUGAAUAAGGAUCGGCUAACUCCGUGCCAGCAGCCGCGGUAAUACGGAGGAUCCGAGCGUUAUCCGGAUUUAUUGGGUUUAAAGGGAGCGUAGAUGGGUUGUUAAGUCAGUUGUGAAAGUUUGCGGCUCAAACGUCAAAUUGCAAUUGAUACUGGCAGUCUUGAGUACAGUUGAGGUAGGCGGAAUUCGUGGUGUAGCGGUGAAAUGCUUAGAGAUCACGAAGAACUCCGAUUGCGAAGGCAGCUUACUAAGCUGCCACUGACAUUGAUGCACGAAAGUGUGGGUAGCAAACAGGAUUAGAUACCCUUGUAGUC
rnacentral:rRNA from 1 species